rnacentral:rRNA from 1 species
GAUGAACGCUGGCGGCGUGCCUAAUACAUGCAAGUCGAGCGAACAGACGAGGAGCUUGCUCCUCUGACGUUAGCGGCGGACGGGUGAGUAACACGUGGAUAACCUACCUAUAAGACUGGGAUAACUUCGGGAAACCGGAGCUGAUACCGGAUAAUAUAUUGAACCGCAUGGUUCAAUAGUGAAAGACGGUUUUGCUGUCACUUAUAGAUGGAUCCGCGCCGCAUUAGCUAGUUGGUAAGGUAACGGCUUACCAAGGCGACGAUGCGUAGCCGACCUGAGAGGGUGAUCGGCCACACUGGAACUGAGACACGGUCCAGACUCCUACGGGAGGCAGCAGUAGGGAAUCUUCCGCAAUGGGCGAAAGCCUGACGGAGCAACGCCGCGUGAGUGAUGAAGGUCUUCGGAUCGUAAAACUCUGUUAUUAGGGAAGAACAAAUGUGUAAGUAACUAUGCACGUCUUGACGGUACCUAAUCAGAAAGCCACGGCUAACUACGUG